GGGGAUUUAGCUUAAAUAAAGCGUCUGAUUUGCGUUCAGGAGAUGUAAAGUGAAUUUGCAGUCCUUA
rnacentral:tRNA from 1 species